UUUGAAAUUCGAUGUGGCGUCACUGGAAAUGACGGAUGCUUCCUCCUGGCGGGGUUUUGACGUCAGUUCGAGUCCGGAGGUAAUAUGAAGUGAAACUCACCGCUCAGCAAGUUCACCGAUCUCCCAAUCUCAUCCUGCAUCACUGAAUCUAUUGAAUUGACCCAGAGCGCCCUCUAGCAGCUGUUGACGAUCCCCGUAUGGUUUAUCGUUUAUCGUUGGUGUCCACCCAUGGUCCACGUUCCUCCUGCACAGGUAAAAGAAAGCAGCUGUAGCAGGUCAGUACACACGUUGUUUCCACCCUCCCCGGGCCAACAGUGGGAGGAAGAAGCAGCAUAGCAGCUCCAACUAUAGCUUACAGGGGAAUUGACUGCUCCAGUGUGGGAGAAAAAAAAGGGAAAAUAUGCAAAAAGUCAUAAAGUCUUCCAGUAAAACACAACUUUUAGCCUCAGCUAGCGUGCCAACAUUUGUUUAUGCACAUUUAUUAUUCCCCAAUUUCAAUGUUAUGUAUAUUUUUUAUUCUACGCUUACACUAACAGCACAGUAGUGGUUGGCAUUUACACUACUAGGAAAACCUUGGAUACACUUUGGCAUUCAGCAUCAGUUUUAAUGACUAAGGCACAUACAUUUAGAGUAGUUACUGAGGAACUAAUGAAGGAUUAGUGACUAAGGUACAUCAAUUUAGAGUAGUUACUAAGGAACUAAUGAAGGAUUAGUGACUAAGGCACAUCCAUUUAGAGUAGUUACUGAGGAACUAAUGAAGGACUAGUGACUAAGGCACAUACAUUUAGAGUAGUUACUGAGGAACUAAUGAAGGACUAGUGACUAAGGCACAUCCAUUUAGAGUAGUUAUCGAACUAAUGACUACGGCGCAUACAUUUAGAGUAGUUACUGAGGAACUAAUGAAGGACAAAUGACUAAGGCACAUACAUUCAGAGUAGUUACUGAUGAACUAAUGAAGGACUAGUGACUAAGGCACAUCCAUUUAGAGUAGUUACUGAGGAACUAAUGAUGAAGGCACAUACAUUUAGAGUAGUUACUGAUGAACUAAUGAAGGACAAAUGUUAAGGCACACACAUUUAGAGUAGUUACCGAGGAAUUAAUGACUAAGGCACAUCCAUUUAGAGUAGUUACUGAGGAACUAAUGACUAAGGCACAUCCAUUUGGAGUAGUUACUGAGGAACUCAUGAAGGACUAGUGACUAAGGCACAUCCAUUUAGAGUAGUUCCUGAGGAACCAAUGAAGGACUAGUGACUAAGGCACAUCCAUUUAGACCAGUGACUAAGGUACAUCCAUUUAGAGUAGUUACUGAGGAACUCAUGAAGGACUAGUGACUAAGGCACAUCCAUUUAGAGUAGUUACUGAGGAACUAAUGAAGGACUAGUGACUAAGGCACAUCCAUUUAGAGUAGUUACUGAGGAACUAAUGACUAAGGCACAUCCAUUUAGAGUAGUUACUGAGGAACUAAUGACUAAGGCACAUAUAUUUAGAGUAGUUACUGAGGAACUAAUGACUAAGGCACAUCCAUUUAGAGUAGUUACUGAGGAACUAAUGACUAAGGCACAUCCAUUUAGAGUAGUUACUGAGGAACUAAUGCAGGACUAGUGACUAAGGCACAUCCAUUUAGAGUAGUUACUGAGGAACUCAUGACUAAGGCACAUCCAUUUAGAGUAGUUUCUGAGGAACUAAUGCAGGACUAGUGACUAAGGUACAUCCAUUUAGAGUAGUUACUGAGGAACUAAUGCAGGACUAGUGACUAAGGUACAUCCAUUUAGAGUAGUUACUGAGGAACUCACGAAGGACUAAUGACUAAGGCACAUCCAUUUAGAGUAGUUACUGAUGAACUAAUGACUAAGGCACAUCCAUUUAGAGUAGUUACUGAUGAACUAAUGGCUAAGGUACAUCCAUUUAGAGUAGUUACUGAGGAACUAAUGCGUGAUGGUUAGGUAGGUUGGUCCCCCAUGAGCUGCAGCCAUUUUGUGUUCCUUACUGUAAAGUGUAUAUAAAAUACAUAAUGCAGCUGGGCCAGGUUCCACAUUGUGUAUGUGGUGUGUAUGUGGUGUGCAUGUGGUGUGUAUGCGGUGUGUAUGUGGUGUGCAUGUGGUGUGUACGCGGUGCCAAGUGCGUCACUGUGCGUUAUGUGCUUUAGUCAGUGGCUGACAAGGAAAACAACAGGUUUAUGUAACAGCUCCCAGCCUCUGAGGAGGAAAACCAGGGGUUGCAGAAGGAAGACGCUCGGAUUGUUUGUUUAAACGCUAAAGAUUGUUCUUAAAGCAGCCAAGUUAGAGCCCGGAUGUUCUGACCUAGUUCUGUGUACUUCACAUGUUCCAUCUGUGCUGGUGCAGGUAUACAGGUACUCUGUUCCUCCCCCCCCCCAUGUCCCACAACAUGUAUAUUAGAUGCAAAUGGUUGGUUCGCCGUAUGUUCUGGUCACCAUAUUUACUGUAGAUAGUAAUCAAAUGAUCCAUCUUUGUGAAUAGAACUGGGUUCUAGAAUAAUCCCUGGUUUGUUGCGGUUAGUCGGUUCCAGAACCGACUGUGAUCAGUAAAUUUCCGCAAAUAUAUAAAUGGAAUAUUUGACCAAAAUAUGUUUACCACCUUCUAAAUAUGGUAAAUACGGCGAUACGGCGGUCUAGUGGUUAGCACGCAGACCUCACAGCUAGGAGACCAGGGUUCAAUUCCACCCUCGGCCAUCUUUGUGUGGAGUUUGCAUGUUCUCCCCGUGCAUGUGUGGGUUUUCUCCGGGUACUCCGGUUUCUUUCCCACAUUCUAAAAACAUGCUAGGUUAAUUAGGUAUGAAUGUGAGUGUGAAUGGUUGUUUGUCUAUAUGUGCCCUGUGAUUGGCUGGCCACCAGUCCAGGGUGUACCCCGCCUCUCACCCUAAGAAGACAGCUGGAAUAGGCUCCAGCACCCCCGCGACCCUCGUGAGGAAAAAGCGGUAGAAAAUGAAUGAAUGAAUGAGUUCUCCUCCUAUUUUGUGUGGAAGUGGUAACUUUUCGGCUUCUUAUUUUGUCUUUCCCCACCCUUGGUAUGUUUUCCCCGUGCAUGCGUGGGUUUUCUCCGGGUACUCCGGUUUCCUCCCACAUUCCAAAAACAUGCUAGGUUAAUUAGCGACUCCAAAUUGUCCAUAGGUAUGAAUGUGAGUGUGAAUGGUUGUUUGUCUAUAUGUGCCCUGUGAUUGGCUGGCCACCAGUCCAGGGUGUACCCCGCCUCUCGCCCUAAGAAGACAGCUGGGAUAGGCUCCAGCACCCCCAUGACCCUCGUGAGGAAAAAGCGGUAGAAAAUGAAUGAAUGAAUGAGUUCUCCUCCUAUUUUGUGUGGAAGUGGUAACUUUUCGGCUUCUUAUUUUGUCUUUCCCCACCCUUGGUAUGUUCUCCCCGUGCAUGUGUGGGUUUUCUCCGGGUACUCCGGUUUCUUCCCACAUUCCAAAAACAUGCUAGGUUAAUUAGCGACUCCAAAUUGUCCAUAGGUAUGAAUGUGAGUGUGAAUGGUUGUUUGUCUAUAUGUGCCCUGUGAUUGGCUGGCCACCAGUCCAGGGUGUACCCCGCCACUCGCCCUAAGAAAACAGCUGGGAUAGGCUCCAGCACCCCCUGCGACCCUCGUGAGGAAAAAGCGGUAGAAAAUGAAUGAAUGAAUGAACAUUAUUAGAGCCCUGUAGACAUGACAUAACACCCCUAUAGUCACUUUUACACCCAAAUUACCCAAUAUAGUAGACAUACUAAGAGAAAAUUAUAUAAUCUUUUUAGCUACCAAUACUCUCCCAAUCACUGGUUAUUGCGCAGUACCUUCCACAGAUAGAGUACAACGCCGGGAGCAGUAUCUAAGAAGUCAUUCAAUGCCGGGACUCAAACACUGCAAGAUACUCCCGGGACAGAUUCUCCAGCGCCACAACAAGGACAUCCAUCCAUGCUGUAAAUAUCACAGCAUCAAGGUCAGUCAGUCUCUCUCCGCCAGUACAGUACACAGCGACUGUAAACCUCAUCCACUCAUCCAACGCGUACAGUAAAUCUAUGCAGGCUGUGUUUUAAUGUACGUGUGCGCUCGAACCAUGAGCGAUAGUGGACUUCUGGAGUGAACCCUAAAUGUUGGACCUUGUCUAGUCCAGGUGAUCACCCUUCAUUCAGUCCCUAAUUUCCAUAAGUAGGAUUCCUUAUUUAACGUUGUAAAUAUGGUUUCUAUUACAUUAUUAGAGACCUCUCGACAUGAAAUAACACCCCUAUAGUCACUUUUUACACUCGUAUUACCCAAUAUAGUAGGCAAAAUAUUUCAAGACAUAAAUUAGACUUGUACUGGACCGCACGGUGUUCGGAGUGGUUAGGACACUGGCCUCACAGCUAGGAUACCCAAGUUCAAUUCCACCCUCUGGCAUCUCUGUGUGGAGUUUGCAUGUUCUCCCCGUGGUUUUCUCCGGGUAAUGUAAAGGUGUCGGUAAUGUUACUAUAUUUGGUCAUAGGAGUGUAAAGGUGACUAUAGGGAUGCUAUUCCAUGUCUAGAGGGCUCUAAUGUUAAAAAGUGUAUUUGGAAGGUCAUAAACGUUAGCAUGCAGGCCUCACAGCUAGGAGACCCGAGUUUGAUUCCACGCUCGGCCAUCUCUGUGUGGAGUUUGCAUGUUCUCCCCGUGCAUGCGUGGGUUUU